ensembl:snoRNA Small nucleolar RNA SNORD66
CCGCUCUGAUGAUAUCAGAUUUGUGUCACAUGUCCAGGCCAAUGAUGAUCGCUGAUGGGAUUCAGGAACUGUGUAU